GGUCACGAGUGCCAGCGCGAAACCCCGGUUUGCUGGCCGGCAACCCUCCCAGACGCGGCGGGGUGCCCCGGGUGACGACCGGGCCGGUCCGGAACGGAUGCGGCAAGCGCGGACC
rnacentral:ncRNA from 1 species